rnacentral:tRNA from 1 species
GGGGGUGUGGCUCAGUGGUGGAGCACUUGCCUGGUGUGUGAAAGGUUCAGGGUUCCAUCUCUAGCACCACCA